rnacentral:rRNA from 1 species
UACGAAGGGUGCAAGCGUUACUCGGAAUCACUGGGCGUAAAGCGUGCGUAGGCGGUUCGUUAAGUCUGCUGUGAAAGCCCUGGGCUCAACCUGGGAACUGCAGUGGAUACUGGCGGACUAGAGUGUGAUAGAGGAUGGUGGAAUUCCCGGUGUAGCGGUGAAAUGCGUAGAUAUCAGGAGGAACACCUGUGGUGUAGACGGCUUUCUGGACCAUAGCUGACGCUGAGACACGAAAGCGUGGGUAGCAAACAGG